rnacentral:rRNA from 1 species
UACAGAGGUGGCAAGCGUUAUUCGGAAUUAUUGGGCUUAAAGGGCGCGUAGGCGGCCUGACAAGUGGAAGGUGAAAUCCCUCGGCUUAACCGAGGAACUGCCCUCCAAACUGUCUGGCUUGAGACCGGGAGAGGUGAGUGGAAUUCCCAGUGUAGCGGUGAAAUGCGUAGAUAUUGGGAGGAACACCAGUGGCGAAGGCGGCUCACUGGACCGGUACUGACGCUGAGGCGCGAAAGCGUGGGGAGCAAACGGG